UACGUAGGGUGCAAGCGUUGUCCGGAAUUAUUGGGCGUAAAGAGCUUGUAGGCGGUUUGUCGCGUCUGCUGUGAAAUUUCGGGGCUCAACCCCGAACUUGCAGUGGGUACGGGCAGACUAGAGUGCGGUAGGGGAGACUGGAAUUCCUGGUGUAGCGGUGGAAUGCGCAGAUAUCAGGAGGAACACCGAUGGCGAAGGCAGGUCUCUGGGCCGCAACUGACGCUGAGGAGCGAAAGCAUGGGGAGCGAACAGG
rnacentral:rRNA from 1 species